rnacentral:rRNA from 1 species
GGCCUACCAUGGUGGUAACGGGUAACGGGGUGUUAGGGCACGACACCGGAGAGGGAGCCUGAGAAACGGCUACCACAUCCAAGGAUGGCAGCAGGCGCGCAAAUUACCCAAUCCCGACACGGGGAGGUAGUGACAAUAAAUAACAAUACGGGGUUCUUUCGGAUCUCGUAAUUGGAAUGAGUACAAUUUAAAUCUCUUAACGAGGAACAAUUGGAGGGCAAGUCUGGUGCCAGCAGCCGCGGUAAUUCCAGCUCCAAUAGCGUAUAUUAAAGUUGUUGCAGUUAAAAAGCUCGUAGUUGAAUUUCGGGGUUAGCAGGUCGGUCGUGCCAUCGGUAUGAACUGGCCUCGCUGAUCCCUCCCUCUUGACGAACUGUGAUGCCAUUAAUUUGGUGUCGCAGGGAAUCAGGACUGUUACUUUGAAAAAAUUAGAGUGUUUAAAGCAGGCUCACGCUUGAAUACAUUAGCAUGGAAUAAUGAAAUAGGACGUUUGAUCCUAUUUUGUUGGUUUCUAGGAUUGACGUAAUGAUUAAUAGGGAUAGUUGGGGGCAUUAGUAUUCAAUUGUCAGAGGUGAAAUUCUUGGAUUUAUUGAAGACUAACUACUGCGAAAGCAUUUGCCAAGGAUGUUUUCAUUAAUCAAGAACGAAAGUUAGGGGAUCGAAGACGAUCAGAUACCGUCGUAGUCUUAACCAUAAACUAUGCCGACUAGGGAUCGGAUGAUGUUAUUUUUAAUGACUCAUUCGGCGCCUUACG